GACGAACGCUGGCGGCGUGCUUAACACAUGCAAGUCGAACGAACUCGAGCUUCGGCUCAAUGAGUGAGUGGCGAACGGGUGAGUAACACGUGAGAAACCUGCCCUGGAGUACGGGAUAACCCAAGGAAACUUGGGCUAAUACCGCAUACCUUCUGACCACCGCAUGGUGGACUGAAGAAAGAUUUAUCGCUCUGGGAGGGUCUCGCGGCCUAUCAGCUUGUUGGUGAGGUAACGGCUCACCAAGGCUUCGACGGGUAGCUAGUCUGAGAGGACGAAUAGCCACACUGGAACUGAGACACGGUCCAG
rnacentral:rRNA from 1 species